AGUGGCAAUUCUCUCGGUUCCACUUGUACAGUGUGGAAGCUUUGUUCUUUCCCUCUUUGCAAUACAUCUUGCUGCUCCUCUCUUUGGGUCCACGCUGCUUUUAUGAGCUGUAACACUCACUGUGAAGGUCUGCAGUUUCACUCCUGAAGCCAGCGAGACUAGGAAUCCACUGGCAGGAAUGAACAACUCGUGAGGCGCCACCUUUAUGAACUGUUCAACACUCACCACAAAGGUCUGCAGCUGCAGUCCUGAAGCCAGCGAGACCACGAACCCACCAGGAGGAAAAAACACCUCCGGAUGCGCCGCCUUUAAGAGCUGUUACACUGACUGCGGAGGUCUGCGGCUUCACUCCUGAAGUGAGCGAGACCACAAACCCACCAGAAGGAAGAAACUCCGGACACGUCCUAACAUCAGAAGGAACAAACUCUGGGCACACUAUCUUUAAGAACUGUAACACUCACCACGAAGGUCCGUGGCUUCAUUCUUGAAGUCAGUGAGACCAAGAACCCACUAAUUGCGGACAUAUGAUUCAUCUAAGUUUGGUGCUGAUUGGAAUGAGGUAGCCCAGAGGGAGAGAGGGAGGGUUAGAAGAUGACAAGGAGAGUGAAAGCCAGAGAGUGCAUGCAGCUGAUCAGGAGACAAAGAAGAUCCACAAAAACAAAGCUCUGCAAAUGCCAGAAAAAGAUUCAAGCAGGAGAGGAAGCUGCACAUGUGCCAAAAGGUGAAAAUUCUCCCCCUCUACAUGAAGCAGCAGUGUUACCAAAUCCAAUAACAUGCAAGCCAUAAAGAUGUCUAUAUUAGGGUGAGUAAAGAGGAUUUGCUGGAAACCACUCCCCUGGAGAGCAGCAGGAGAGGCAUAUUCUGUGUCCUGGAGAUAGACAACAGUGUGUGUCUGAAAAGAAACUCAUGAGCCCUGGGAUAGGGGUGUGAUAGUGAAACAGUGUUCUGGUCUUUCUGGGAGGUGGAGCUAGUGCAGACCCCUUACCUCACCCAGAGACAUAGGUCAUUUCACCAGAAGCUCCCCCAGGCACUCUAGUCCAUGCUGGUACCUGUGCUUGUCAUUGAAACAUCCAUGGGCAAGCCAGGUGGUCCAGCUGUGCCUAGUUGCAUCUCACCUUCUCCUCUGCAAAAAUGAAGCUCAGGGCACUGGAUGUUGUACAGUCCAGCACAUCAUCUGAAACAACAGAGAACACCUCACAAUAAACAAAGACCAAGUACAUACCCAUCUGCUCUUGUCUCAGCUGCCUCUUACCCAUAAGCAUCACCUACUGGCCUGUAGGUUAAACUGCACAACCCAA
rnacentral:lncRNA from 10 species